UACGAAGGGGGCUAGCGUUGCUCGGAAUCACUGGGCGUAAAGCGCACGUAGGCGGAUUGCUAAGUCAGGGGUGAAAUCCUGGAGCUCAACUCCAGAACUGCCUUUGAUACUGGCGAUCUUGAGUCCGGGAGAGGUGAGUGGAACUGCGAGUGUAGAGGUGAAAUUCGUAGAUAUUCGCAAGAACACCAGUGGCGAAGGCGGCUCACUGGCCCGGUACUGACGCUGAGGUGCGAAAGCGUGGGGAGCAAACAGGAGUAGAUACCCCGGU
rnacentral:rRNA from 1 species